GUACUCAGGUGAAUAUGAUGUUUGUUAUGUUACUCAGAGUGUAUGUUUGUGAUGUUACUCGCCCGGUGUGGACAUACACUCUGAGUAACAUCACAAACAUCAUAUUCACCU